UAAAUCUUUAUAAAUUUAGGUUGCAAAGUGGUUGAUUGACAAGUUGUGAUGGAAAGAAUUUGACAUUAAUGAAUUUGGAGUUCUUAAAGUGACUGAUGAUUCAACUUGAAAGUGCCUGAUUGGAUUGGAUAGGCUUAUAAAGAGAUCUCUAGGGAUAAUUCUGAUGUGAAAUCCUAUCCCCCCGUUUGGAAAUUAUAAUUUGCGAGAAUUCAAUUCAAUUGAUUUAUAUUUUGUAAAUUCUCAUGUUUGGACUUUGGAAUGGAAUAAUUCAAUUUUUUUAACUAAAAAAAAAUUCAUUUUAAAAG
rnacentral:misc_RNA from 1 species